AUCCUGGCUCAGAUUGAACGCUGGCGGCAUGCCUUACACAUGCAAGUCGAACGGCAGCGGGCCUUCGGGUGCCGGCGAGUGGCGAACGGGUGAGUAAUGCAUCGGAACGUGCCAUUGAGUGGGGGAUAACGUAGCGAAAGUUGCGCUAAUACCGCAUAUUCUGUGAGCAGGAAAGCAGGGGACCGCAAGGCCUUGCGCUCUUUGAGCGGCCGAUGUCAGAUUAGCUAGUUGGUGAGGUAAAGGCUUACCAAGGCGACGAUCUGUAGCGGGUCUGAGAGGAUGAUCCGCCACACUGGAACUGAGACACGGUCCAGACUCCUACGGGAGGCAGCAGUGGGGAAUUUUGGACAAUGGGGGCAACCCUGAUCCAGCCAUGCCGCGUGAGUGAAGAAGGCCUUCGGGUUGUAAAGCUCUUUCGGUCGGGAAGAAAUCGCAUGGGUUAAUACCCUGUGUGGAUGACGGUACCGGCAUAAGAAGCACCGGCUAACUACGUGCCAGCAGCCGCGGUAAUACGUAGGGUGCGAGCGUUAAUCGGAAUUACUGGGCGUAAAGCGUGCGCAGGCGGUUUGGUAAGUCAGAUGUGAAAUCCCCGGGCUCAACCUGGGAACUGCAUUUGAGACUGCCAAGCUGGAGUGUGGCAGAGGGGGGUGGAAUUCCACGUGUAGCAGUGAAAUGCGUAGAGAUGUGGAGGAACACCGAUGGCGAAGGCAGCCCCCUGGGCCGAUACUGACGCUCAUGCACGAAAGCGUGGGUAGCAAACAGGAUUAGAUACCCUGGUAGUCCACGCCCU
rnacentral:rRNA from 1 species